CUUUAGUUGCCAUCAUUGAGUGGCACUCUAAAGAGACUGCCGGUGUCAAACCGGAGGAAGGUGGGGAUGACGUCAAGUCCUCAUGGCCUUUAUGACCAGGGCUACACACGUACUACAAUGGCCGGUACAAAGGGCAGCGACACAGCGAUGUGAAGCGAAUCCCGAAAAGCCGGUCUCAGUCCGGAUUGGAGUCUGCAACUCGACUCCAUGAAGUUGGAAUCGCUAGUAAUCGCGGAUCAGCACGCCGCGGUCGAAUACGUUCCGGCCUU
rnacentral:rRNA from 1 species